CACGUACUGUGCGAACGUUAUUCGGAAUCACUGGGCUUAAAGGGUGCGUAGGCGGCUAAUUAAGUAGGGUGUGAAAGCUCUCGGCUCAACCGAGGAAUUGCGCUCUAAACUGGUUAGCUUGAGUGAGAUAGGGGUGUGCGGAACUUCCGGUGGAGCGGUGAAAUGUGUUGAUAUCGGAAGGAACACCAGUAGCGAAAGCGGCACGCUGGGUCUCUACUGACGCUGAGGCACGAAAGCUAGGGUAGCGAACGGG
rnacentral:rRNA from 1 species